UCGGGUGCAUAUAAGCGCGCUUUUUUUUAAAUGGCAGACGUUAUUUUCUUGUUCAAUCGCGUAUGAGCUUUAUCGAACCACAAAAUGUAGUCGCACCCAAAAUAGAUGUUGCUCACUACCAGGAGGGAGAUCUCAUCAAAGCCACUUACCAAAAACAAACAUACGAUGCGGUGAUCAGUGAAAUCCAUCAUGACGAGGUUUCUCUUGAAGCAAGCAAAGCGACCGCCUAAGCAUGCUUUCGAGGCAACUUAAGAUAGGAAAAAAACUCAAGAGUUCAGUGAUCAAACACCAACAGAGCCUCGUGAUAAGUUGCCUGUAAAGAGGAGCAUGAACCCAUCAGAUGCCUCCGAAGAUAUUGACCUGACGAACAAUGCUGCAAAGCAAAAUCUCAGUAAGCAAAGUGCUCAAACACCUACAGAGCCUCGUGACAAGUUGCUUGUACACAGAAGAGCCUGAUCCCAUCAGAUGCCUCCGAAGAGAUUGAAAAGAACUGUUUACGGACAUUUUCAGAACUGUUUUAGAACAUUUGUUCCAGACUUAUUUGAAGCAACCCUUCGAAACUGUUCUAAACAUUUCUAGAAUUGUACUGUAACACACCGGCUAGAACUGUUCUGUAAUCAUACUGAAAAUGUUCUAGAAUUAUUCUGGAACAGUUGUUGAACGUUAAAUGAGAAAAAAAUUCUAGAACAAUUCUAUAACAGUUCUGGAAAUUUAUUCAAGAAAAAUUCUGGAAUAGUUCUAGAACGAUAGUUCAAGAAUUGUUCUAGGACAGUUGUUGAACGUUAAAUGAGAAAAAUUUCUAGAACAAUUCUAUAACAGUUCUGGAAAUUUAUUCAAGAAAAAUUCUGGAAUAGUUCUAGAACGCUAGUUCAAGAAUUGUUCUAGAACAAACCUUCAGAACUGUUUCAGAACAAAUUGUUCUAGAAAUUAUUCUCAUUUAACGUUCAACAACUGUUCUAAAUCGUUCUAGAGCAUUUUAAGGAUGAUUCCAGAACACUUCUAGUCAUUAAGUUCCAGUACAAUUCUAGAAAUGUUAUAGAACAGUUCUAACAAUCUUCGCAGGGGGGAUCAGCCUGUGCAGCCCACAAAGGCUUAAUCGUAUUUGGAACAUUACCCUCUUCAUUAAUCACAUAUCAGCCUCUGUGGAUAGUGACACAGGCUAAUCUGAGAUAACAAUAUAUGCAGAUGCACUGCUCUGGGGUUUCUCUUGAAAGGGUCCAUUUGCUUUUGUUUUCUUUAUUGUUUAUUUUUGUUUUCUUCAUUGUGAUUGUUUUUACAAAUUCAGUGAUUACAUACCAAUCAGGUUAUGUUGUUUAUAUUUUUAGAAUGAUAAAUAUGUGAUUGUUAUUACAAGUUCUGUGAUUACAUACCAAUCCGGUUAUGUUGUUUAUAUUUUAAGAAUAAUUAAUAUUUGACUGUUAUCACAAGUUCUGUGAUAACAUACCAAUCAGGUUAUGUUGUGUUUUUUUAAAAUGAUUAAUAAACGAUUUUGACGGUUAAA